CUCCAAUCCUAGAAAGGUUAGUGACAAGAAUACCCAAACGAAUUAUCUUUAUAUGCUCAAUACACAAGGCAAUGUUGCAAAUAAUUAGAAGUUCAUGUUAUGAUCUGAUAAGUGUUUGUUUUAGGACACUAAGCUUGUCCUUGGGAAACCAUCAAGUUAUGUUGGUGAAGUGGUUUCCCCUCCAAUACCUACCUAUAUCA
rnacentral:lncRNA from 1 species